rnacentral:rRNA from 1 species
AUUGAACACUGGCGGCAGGCCUAACACAUGCAAGUCGAGCGAGCGGCGGAGGGGUGCGUAAUGUAUGGGGAUCUGACUGAUGGAGGAGGAUAAGUACUGGAAACGGUAGCUAAUACCGCAUAACAUCAGCUGAACCAAUAUUGGAUGAGCUUGUAGGUAAGGUAACGGCUUACCGAGGCGACGAUCCCUAGCUGGUCUGAGAGGAUGAUCAGCCACACUGGGACUGAGACACGGCCCAGACGCCUACGGGAGGAAGCAGUGGGGAAUAUUGCACAAUGGGCGCAAGCCUGAUGCAGCCAUGCCGCGUGUAUGAAGAAGGCCUUCGGGUUGUAAAGUACUUUCAGUCGGGAGGCGUUACCGACAGAAGAAGCACCGGCUAACUCCGUGCCAGCAGCCGCGGUAAUAC